CGCGUAGGCGGGAGGACAAGUCGGUCGUGAAAUCUCCGGGCUCAACCCGGAGGAGUCGGCCGAAACUGUUUUUCUUGAGGGAGGCAGAGGAGUCUGGAAUUCCCGGUGUAGCGGUGAAAUGUGUAGAGAUCGGGAGGAACACCGGUGGCGAAGGCGGGACUCUGGGCCUACCCUGACGCUGAGGCGCGAAGGCGUGGGGAGCAAACGGGAUUAGAUACCCCGGUAGUCCACGCGGUAAACGAUGACGACUAGGUGUGGGGGGUUCAGUCCCUUCCGUGCCGCAGCUAACGCAUUAAGUCGUCCGCCUGGGGAGUACGGCCGCAAGGUUGAA
rnacentral:rRNA from 1 species